rnacentral:rRNA from 1 species
GAUGAACGCUGGCGGCGUGCCUAAUACAUGCAAGUCGAGCGAACAGACGAGGAGCUUGCUCCUUUGACGUUAGCGGCGGACGGGUGAGUAACACGUGGGUAACCUACCUAUAAGACUGGGAUAACUUCGGGAAACCGGAGCUAAUACCGGAUAAUAUUUCGAACCGCAUGGUUCGAUAGUGAAAGAUGGCUUUGCUAUCACUUAUAGAUGGACCUGCGCCGUAUUAGCUAGUUGGUAAGGUAACGGCUUACCAAGGCAACGAUACGUAGCCGACCUGAGAGGGUGAUCGGCCACACUGGAGCUGAGACACGGUCCAGACUCCUACGGGAGGCAGCAGUAGGGAAUCUUCCGCAAUGGGCGAAAGCCUGACGGAGCAACGCCGCGUGAGUGAUGAAGGUCUUCGGAUCGUAAAACUCUGUUAUUAGGGAAGAACAAACGUGUAAGGAACUGUGCACGUCUUGACGGUACCUAAUCAGAAAGCCACGGCUAACUACGUG